rnacentral:lncRNA from 1 species
GAGAGCUGAGGCAUAGAGGCAAAUCAUUGAGAGCUUUCUGAGGGUGUGUGCGACAUAGUUUCGCGGUUUUGUGCAACUUAGUUUUGCGGGUUUUGUGCUUGUGUGAUCAAGUGGUUUUGUUUUGAAGUCUAGGCUCAAGUGGAGUUUAGCUCAGGGUUAGGUUAUCCUGAUUAAAUCUAGACUCAAGGGGAGUUUAGUUAAGGGUAGAGAUUAU